rnacentral:rRNA from 1 species
CAGCCGCCGCGGUAAUACGUAGGUGGCAAGCGUUGUCCGGAAUUAUUGGGCGUAAAGCGCGCGCAGGUGGUUUAAUAAGUCUGAUGUGAAAGCCCACGGCUCAACCGUGGAGGGUCAUUGGAAACUGUUAAACUUGAGUGCAGGAGAGAAAAGUGGAAUUCCUAGUGUAGCGGUGAAAUGCGUAGAGAUUAGGAGGAACACCAGUGGCGAAGGCGGCUUUUUGGCCUGUAACUGACACUGAGGCGCGAAAGCGUGGGGAGCAAACAGGAUUAGAUACCCGCGUAGUCCCUGUCUCUUAUAC